rnacentral:lncRNA from 1 species
UUCCUCACAACUUUCAGGCCCUUUUUUCUAUUUCCUCAUUGACUUGGGUUGUUGUUCAGUUUAGUCUCUGGACAUUGGAAGUAUCAUUAAAGGGAAAGAGCACGGAGGGAAAUGUGGUCCUCCAGGAGCACUCCUAGGUUCAUGGGUACAAUGUAAGCCCUUCCAGUGAAGGGACUGUCGUUUCACUUUUGUCUUGGAAUCUCCCAUGACUGGUACAUGGUAUAUCCCUCCAGCCAUAGAACCCUGCCAUAUGCCAGAGAAGUAUCUUUAAUCAAAACAAAUCAACAUCUGACAAUAUAUGUCUUAUGAAACACAUCUAUUUCACCAGCUUACUUCUGGGAGGAAGAGUUUUUCACCAUUGGUCCUUUGGAGUCAGGCAAACUCUCCUGUGGGGACACUCACAUGCCUUGAAAUGGUCUGGAGGAGGCGAGCAGGUGGGAGGGAAGAAGACAAAAGCAAAGUGUCUGUCUGAUCAAUCCCUGAAACACAGAAUGGCGGCUGCAUCGUUUUGCAGGUGCAGAGGAAAUGGGCUUGAAAUGAUGACCAAUGAUCAGGAACAUGACUGAAAUGAAGCCAGCAGCCUCACAACUCUCAGGACGACAGAAUCAUCCACACACCAAUAAAGUGUUCACGUUAUGAUAUUCA